CAGCAGAUGGAUGAUCCUGAUCAUCUGCCACGGCUGGGAGUUGGCCUUACCCGUGAGGAAUCCAAUUGUAGCCAGUAGCCAUAGUUUCAUGAUGGGAAGCGUCUAGCAGUUGAGCACUGCCAUAUGGAUGGUGGUGGCCCCAAAAACAUGAUGAAUGGAUGAUCUUGGUGAUUUGUCUUGCCAAUUGAAUGCAGACUAGAUGUUUUGUUUUGAAGCCUAAGUUUGAAUGCCACCAUUCAAUUGUUAGCAUGGGAUGCAGUAUGAUAGUAAUAAUACACAUGCAUAUAGACAGUUGUAGUUGUAUAGAUAAUCUCUUAAUAUAUGUAGUUCUCUUUA